UGCCAGCCGCCGCGGUAAUACGGAGGGUGCAAGCGUUGUUCGGAAUCACUGGGCGUAAAGCGCGUGUAGGCGGCCAGGCAGGUCGGAUGUGAAAGCCCGGGGCCCAACCCCGGAAUUGCAUUCGAAACUACCUGGCUAGAGUCCUGGAGAGGAAGGCGGAAUUCCCGGUGUAGAGGUGAAAUUCGUAGAUAUCGGGAGGAACACCAGCGGCGAAGGCGGCCUUCUGGACAGUGACUGACGCUGAGACGCGAAAGCGUGGGGAGCAAACGGGAUUAGAUA
rnacentral:rRNA from 1 species